GCCCGGUUAGCUCAGAUGGUAGAGCAUCAGACUUUUAAUCUGAGGGUCAUGGGUUCGAGCCCCAUAUCGGGCG
rfam:Nematostella vectensis strain CH2 x CH6 NEMVEscaffold_231_Cont19844, whole genome shotgun sequence.